rnacentral:rRNA from 1 species
CCUACGGGGGGCAGCAGUGGGGAAUAUUGCACAAUGGGGGAAACCCUGAUGCAGCAACGCCGCGUGAGGGAGGAAGUAUUUCGGUAUGUAAAGCUCUAUCAGCAGGGAAUCGAAAAGAAGGUACCUGAAACAGAAGCACCGGCUAACUACGUGCCAGCAGCCGCGGUAAUACGGAGGGGGCAAGCGUUAUACGGAUUUACUGGGUGUAACGGGAGCGUAGAGGGAAAGGCUAGUCAGAAGUGAAAGCCCAAGGCGCAACCAUCAGCCAGCUUGUGAAACUGUCCAACUAGAGUAUGGGAGAGGUAUGCGGACGGCGUGGGGGAGCGGUGAAAUGCAUAGAUAUUAGGAGGAACACCGAUUGCGAAGGC